GAUAAAAAAAGUUGGGCAGAUUACUGUGAAGAUCAAUUUUUGCUCCUAUGUUUACUGAAUUGGGUUUGUAAAAUAUGGGGGCAAAUUGGUCUUUACAACCGUUCGCCCAACUGUUUGCAAUGUUUACCAAAGAGUUGUGCAAACUCUUAAGUGAUUGUUUAUUGCAGCCAUUCAAUCGUCACGUGGACGUGGAUGGUAAGAAAUGGGUUGGCU
rnacentral:lncRNA from 1 species